GGGGCAAUAUGCCCAUUGAGAUCUCUUGGUUUGGCUUAACCAAGCAAUCAUUAUUAAUCUCGUCUGCCUUUUGACACCUAGAGGAUCAGUUUUUCCUUAAACCAACUCCAACCGAGACUCAAACAACUCGUCGCUUUCCUUCGAGGUCCCUCGAUUCACCACUAAUCAUCGCUAGCAGAUGGUUGCAAUAUUAUCGGAAUCCGAAAUAGCCUCCAUCACCCUAACCAAAUAGCUUUCCCCCCCUAUUUGCACUUCAACUCAUCUUCAAACUGAUGAAUCAAAAUUAUCAUCUUCCCACAGUUGAAAUCCUCAAGCUUCAAAGUAUUGCCACAAAUUCGCAAUCUCAUGGAGAGUUGUUGAUUUGCAAACAUGCAGAGGUAGUCAAUAAAAAAUCCAAGUUGCUCCCUUAGCAGUCAAGUAGUCUUUAGACCAUUCAACAAUGUUGGCAAACCAGUUCAUGGUCUUCAACAUCCUUCUCUUUUUGUCCACUCCAAAGGUGAUUAGGACAUACUUACCAAAUUUUUCUAGCAUCAAUAUCAAAGACUCCUUCAAUUCUAAAAAUUUCCCUAACAACAUUUGUCUCAUAAAAUCCCCUGCUAUUUCCACAAAGCAUUUUCUAGUUUUUGUAAGGACUCUAGCUCAACAAAAACUUGUAUGAAUCUCGCCUUUUUUAUUUUUAAAUCUUGUUACCGUUCCAUAAUCUUGGAUAUCAACCAUAGUCGGAUUAGAAACAUUUUUGUGUGAUAUGUCAGACCUCUGUAUUUCACUCCUGUGGAAUUAGCCUUUUGUUAGUCCUGUUUGUUCCUAUAUUUUAACCAGGUGUUGUUAAUAAUAUAUCCACCACUAUGCAGAUUUUUAGCUCUUUCGGUUUUACUCUUUCUUUUUAGCCACUUGUACAGCUUAUAAAAGGUUGUGUUAAGUUCUUUUUCAUGUAUCAAAAAAUAUUCAACUUCACUUUCUCUUCACUUCUAGUUUUCAUUCCAAGUUUUAUUUUUAUCUUCUUUAGCAUAUUUUAUCUUUGUUUUUAUCAAUAUGUUUUGAUAUCAAAGCUAAGUUUGUUUGAUUAAGUGGGAGAGAGUGAAAUAAAACAGAAAUUCAAUGUGAGUGGUUCAGGCAAACCUAAUGCUGAUAGUCAGUGGUACUGCAACUUCAUCCCAGCCUUUUAUUCCUUUGUUCAAAAGAGAGAACUACGAAUUUUGGAGCAACAAGAUAUAAGGACUUUGUUUAUGUCUCAAGAACUUUGGGAGCUGGUAUAAAGUGAGUAUAAUGACCCCAGAUGAUCAACAAAGACUUCGAAAGAGCAGAAAGAAAUACACACGACCUUUGUUCUUUCUUCAACAAGCAGUCAAGUCUCGAGACAGACAUUGCGGGAACCAUUUUUGAACUCAAAUUUAAAGCUUCCAACGGCUAAAAUCUAUCCCCAACAGCCAUAAACGUCCACAAACUCAUUCCUUGGAAUAAAUACAAGUCAGAGACACGUCAAGACAUAAGAGUUGAACGCAUCCUAGCAUAAAAGUCAAGAGAAAAGCUUCAAUUUUUUUAUUCUUUCAUUUUCACUUGUACAUAUCUCUUGGAACUUAUUGUUAGAUAUUUUAUCACUCUCAUUUUUAUUUCUACGAGAGCUUAUUUUUGUAAACACACACUUUGUAAAGGUCUCUUUGUUUACUUUCUUUCA